GGGGAUGUGGCUCAGUGGUAGAGCUUUUUGCCUAGCAGGCUUGAGAGCCUGGGUUCAAAUCCCAGCACCCCCA
rfam:Dipodomys ordii contig_36913, whole genome shotgun sequence.